CCUACGGGUGGCUGCAGUGAGGAAUAUUGGUCAAUGGGCGCGAGCCUGAACCAGCCAAGUCGCGUGAAGGAAGACGGCCCUACGGGUUGUAAACCUCUUUUGCCGGGGAGCAACGGGCGCCACGUGUGGCGCCACUGAGAGUACCCGGAGAAAAAGCAUCGGCUAACUCGGUCCCAGCGGCCGCGUUAAUACGGAGGAUGCGGGCGUUAUCCGGAUUUAUUGGGUUAAAGGGGUGCGUGGGCGGAGCUUGAGGUCGGUGGUAAAAUUGGGGGGCGAAACCCGUUCCCGCAGUGGAAACUGGGGGGCUUGAGUGGAAGGGAGGUAGGCGGAAUGCGUGGUGUAGCGGUGAAAUGCAUAGAUAUCACGAAGAACCCCGAUUGCGAAGGCAGCAUGCCGGCGCCCGACUGACGCUGAGGCACGAAAGCGUGGGGAUCGAACAGGAUUAGAUACCCUAGUAGUC
rnacentral:rRNA from 1 species